rnacentral:lncRNA from 1 species
CAGAGUUUAGCUCGGAUAAUGGUUUUGAUUUGAACGAAGAUUUGACUAAAGUAACACGAGAGAAAGAAAUCGACUUGAAUAUGCAAUUUUCAGUAAAUGAGCUGGAGCCACUUCGCAAAAGACCUAAGAUUGAGGAUCCAUCAAAAUCAUUUGUUGGUAACACGGUUUUGGAACCUAUGGUGAGUGACUAUGAAAAUAGUGUUAAAGAUGAAGAAGUUGAGUCUUUACUGCCACCAGUGAAGGUCAAUGGUCAAGUUAACUUUAUUUCUACCAAGGAGGAACCUGAAUCUUCUAUCGAUGGCUCAUCAUGUCAGUCUGAUAGAAAUCAUGUUGCAGAGGUUAGCAAUCACGUUGAAGAUAAGAGUUUUGUUGAGAAAUCCCUCCUACCUAACAAGAAUCAGGAAGAAAAUAUUGAAGUGUUGGAUUUGGUUAAACAAGCUAGGCAUUCUUGGAUCAAAAAUUUUGAAUUUCUCCAGGAUUGCACCAUUCGUUUCUUAUGUGUGCUUUCACUUGACCGGUAAGACUUUGGUACUCAAUCAUGGAUUUUCUUUUCCAGUAUUAGUUGUUUUUGUUUCAUAGCAUCUUGGGUAGCACGGUUGUUUAUUAACCUUCCCAUUCUAGCUGAGAUUUGGUUGGGCAUUUCUAAGUUGGUCGUUAUCUUUCCCUCUAUUGCAGUUUUGGGGAUUAUAUUUCUGAUCAGGUUGUUGCUCCUGUGCGGGAAGCUUGUGCCCAAGCACUUGGUGCUACUUUCAAAUACAUGAGUCCCUCGUUGAUUUAUGAGACAUUAAAUAUCUUGCUUCAGAUGCAGGUAAAUGUUUAAUCUCUUCUUUUUAAAGUCAUUUAAACUAAGAAACUUGUUGCGGUCUCUGUACAUUAUAAAACUGACUGGUAAUUUUAUCCUACAUAUAUAUAUAUCUGUGUAGCGCCGGCCUGAAUGGGAAAUUCGUCAUGGAAGUCUUUUGGGCAUCAAGUACUUGGUUGCUGUACGACAGGUAAAUCUCCCGUACGUGAGAGCUACUUUUAAGAAGUUAACACAUUAUAAAACUGAAAAAAACAUGUUUGGAGUCUUGUUUGCCGUUUCCAUGUCCGGUGGAAUCUUGUUUUUGAUAUCAUGAUAUGGGUAGUAUUUUAUUAGUGUCUAAGGUGUAGCACACUCGAUUUCUUGACUUUUCUUUCUUAUUCACCCCUGAUUAUUAUGUUUUGCAGGAAAUGCUCCAAGAUUUACUUGGCCAUAUUCUUCCGGCGUGUAAAGCAGGGCUGGAGGAUUCUGAUGACGAUGUUCGAGCGGUUGCCGCUGAUGCUCUUAUACCGGCAGCAGCCGCUAUUGUUUCUUUGAGAGGACAGACGUUACUUUCCAUUGUCAUGUUACUGUGGGAUAUCUUGCUUGAGUUGGAUGACUUAAGUCCAUCCACUAGCAGGUACGCUAGUGAUAAAAUUACAUUCUCUCCUUUCUGCACAAGAUCAAUGUUGAGCAGUAUAAUGUUUCUUGCAGUGUUAUGAACCUCCUGGCAGAGAUCUAUUCUCAAGAUGAUAUGACAGUGGUGAUGCAUGAAGAAUUAUCAGUGGGAGAGGGACAAAAAGUUGAUCUCAAUGAAACGGUUCAUGUCGAGAGUGUUAGAGAAAGAAGAGAUGUUAGGGAAAGCCCUUAUGCGUUAUCUGGUUUAGCCCCUAGGCUGUGGCCAUUUACGAGACACGACAUCACAUCAGUUCGAUUUUCUGCUAUUCGAACUCUGGUGGGUUUCUACUGUUUGUUUUACAGUCAAAUCUCUCUCGAUACUUGCUGUCUAUGUUUGUCUCCACUAGCAUAAUUUACAUGUAUCUUGUGCCUUGAGUUUCUCUGGUUUAUUAUAUAUAAAAGAUGUAAAAUCCCUUUUUGAUUACUUCUGAGUACAAUUCUCCUAUGUUCCUUUUAUAUGCUUACGACUCGUUCCUAAAUUUUCUCUGACAGGAGCGACUACUUGAAGCUGGAUGCAGAAAGAACAUUUCUGAGCAGUCCAAAAGUUCUUUCUGGCCAUCUUCUAUUUUAGGGGAUACCCUAAGAAUCGUCUUUCAGAAUCUUUUGCUAGAAUCAACCGAGGAGAUUCUGGAGUGUUCGGAAAGAGUGUGGAGGCUUUUAGUUCAGGUAUCUAGUAGCAGAAUGUUGCUUUUCUUUCAGCACACCCUUUUUAAAUGUUUUCUACACCCUUUGAAAUAUCGAUUUUCGUUCAUGGUUUACGUUGAACUUUAAUUCAUAGAGUAGGUUUCCCAUUUGCUUGGUGUAUGUGUGGUAUUGCAUACGUAAAUUAUUUGACAUUAAAUCACAGGAUAGUUUGCAUCUGAACCCUUUUAGCAGCUGGAUGUCUUUCUGCUUUUUAAAGUUUACCCAUAACGGAAGUACUUAGACCGUCUCCAACCCACAUCUAUAGUUUUUCUAUAAAAUAGAGCAACUAUAAAAAUAGAGGUGGUAAGGAAUUGGAGUGAAACCCACCCCGUUCCUCUAUUUCGAAGAAAGUUAUACAUGUCGGAUGCGCGAAAUCUGUUGCUGAUUGCUAACGAAUUUGGGUCAUGUAGUAUAGUUACCUGAAAACACGUAAUUUUGUAACUUUUACGACAGCGUUAUUUUUCGUAUUUGGCCCUAAUCUCUUAUUUCUCUUCUUGUUCAGUGCCCAGUGGAAGAUUUGGAAGAAGCUGCAAAAUCAUACAUGGCUUCGUGGAUAGAACUUGCAGCUACUCCUUAUGGCUCAACAUUGGAUGCUACAAAAAUGUUUUGGCCAGUAGCUCCCCCUCGUAUGAGUCAUUUCAAAGCUGCUGCUAAGAUGAAAGCUGUCCAACUUGAGAAUGAAGCUUCCAGCACUCUGGGAUUUGAUUAUGCAAGGAGUUUUGCUUCCCUUGGAAAAAAUGAAGAUGCUUCUGCCAGGUCCACUAAAAUUAUCGUUGGCUCUGAUAUGGAGAUGUCAGUGACUCGCACCCGGGUAGUUACAGCAUCUGCGUUAGGUAUUCUUGCAUCCCGAUUGAGCGAUCGUUCAAUGCAGUUUGUGGUAGAUCCACUGAGUAGUACUCUUACUUCCUUGUCCGGUGUACAGCGCCAGGUAUGCUCUCUCGCUCCCUCAUUAAACGCAUGCUGCAUGUUUUGAACUAAACCUCUGGCUUUGCAGGUUGCGUCGGUUGUGCUUAUCUCUUGGUUCAGAGAAAUUAAAUGCAAGGUCCCUUCCCCUUCUGAUGGAAGUGGAAGUUUGCCUGGUUUUCCUACUCCUCUUAAAAAAUGGAUGCUAGAUUUGUUAGCUUGCUCAGACCCUGCAUUCCCCACUAAAGAUAUACUUCUUCCUUAUGCUGAGCUCUCAAGAACAUACACUAAAAUGAGGAACGAAGCUUCUCAGUUGUUGCAUACAGUCGAAACCUACCAUUGUUUUGAUAAGUUAUUAUCGACGACUAAACUCAAUGCGGAUAGCUUGAGUGCUGAUGAGACAAUUGAAUUUGCGUCAACAUUAGCAUUGUGGAAUAAAGACAGUGCUGAAAAGGAAUCCUUAGAAAAGCAAGUUUUUGAAGAUGUGGAGUCAUCUAGGCAACAGCUACUAAGUACUGCUGGCUAUUUAAAAUGUGUCCAGGUACCUGGAAUAUGCUUUGAUUUUCAUGUGUUUCUUAUAUCUUUGGUCUGCUUCACAGGGCAUGUAUAUCAGCAUUUUCGUUUUUGAGGUUGAACCUUUUUAAUCCUUCUUCUGGAUUGCAGAAUAAUUUACAUAUCACAGUCACCUCUCUGAUCGCUGCUGCGGUUGUUUGGAUGUCAGAAUUUCCCUCUAGACUUAAUCCAAUAAUCUUGCCGCUGAUGGCUUCAAUUAAAAGAGAGCAGGUAACAAUUGAAAUUAAAUGUUUGUUUUCAUGUCCGCUGAACUGACCACUGACUCUUUUGUUUUCAGGAACAAAUACUACAACAGAAAGCUGCUGAGGCUCUUGCAGAACUUAUUGCGUACUGCGUAGAUCGGAAGCCUAGCCCUAAUGACAAGUUAAUCAAGAAUAUUUGUAGCUUGACGUGCAUGGAUCCUAGCGAAACACCUCAAGCUAGUAUCAUUAGGUCUAUAGAUAUUGUUGAUGAUCUGGACUUCCUGUCCUCGCGAAGUAACGCAGGAAAACAGAAGUCAAAAGCAGUGUUGGCUGGUGGCGAAGACAGGUCUAAGGUUGAGGGUUUUAUCACCAGGAGAGGAGCUGAACUUGCAUUGAAGCAUUUAAGCAUGAAAUUUGGUGGUUCCUUGUUUGACAAGCUCCCUAAAUUGUGGGAGUGCCUCACUGAGGUUCUUGUUCCUGUAACUCCUGAAGAUCAACAGAACUUUGACCUUAAAAUAGAAUCUGUCUCUGAUCCACAGGUCUUGAUAAACAACAUUCAGGUACACCCAGUGAAGUUUUGCAUAGAUAUGAUUUUUCAAUUUCUUGCGCCAGUAGGGAUGUUUCGCUUGAAUUAUUUGAACGGUUAGUUUUAGGAUUGGCCAUCAUACCUCCUUUAGAUAAAACGAUGAAGCUUGUUAGUUAAUAUGCAGAGCCGUAGCUUGAUGUUUUUUAUUUAAUCUGUUUUUCAGGUUGUACGUUCCGUAGCACCAGUGAUGGAAGAAACUCUGAAACCUAGGUUACUUAGUCUCUUGCCUUGCAUUUUCAAAUGCGUUCGCCAUUCCCAUGUGGCUGUUAGAUUGGCUGCUUCUAGAUGUGUUAUGACAAUGGCUAAAUCAAUGACAACAAAUGUCAUGGCAGCAGUAGUGGAAAAUGCUAUUCCGAUGUUGGGAGAUUUGACAUGCGUAAAUGCUAGACAAGGCGCAGGAAUGCUUAUUGGUUUUAUGCAAUUUUCAGUAAAUGAGCUGGAGCCACUUCGCAAAAGACCUAAGAUUGAGGAUCCAUCAAAAUCAUUUGUUGGUAACACGGUUUUGGAACCUAUGGUGAGUGACUAUGAAAAUAGUGUUAAAGAUGAAGAAGUUGAGUCUUUACUGCCACCAGUGAAGGUCAAUGGUCAAGUUAACUUUAUUU